rnacentral:rRNA from 1 species
UACGUAGGGUGCGAGCGUUGUCCGGAAUUAUUGGGCGUAAAGGGCGUCGUAGGCGGUCCAUCGCGUCGGGGAGUGAAAAGCUGGGGCUUAACCCCAGUCCUGCUUUCGAUACGGGUGGACUAGAGGUAGGCAGGGGAGAACGGAAUUCCUGGUGUAGCGGUGAAAUGCGCAGAUAUCAGGAGGAACACCGGUGGCGAAGGCGGUUCUCUGGGCCUUACCUGACGCUGAGGAGCGAAAGCGUGGGGAGCGAACAGG